rnacentral:rRNA from 1 species
UACGUAGGUGGCAAGCGUUGUCCGGAUUUAUUGGGUUUAAAGGGUGCGUAGGCGGUUCUAUAAGUCAGUGGUGAAAUCCGGCAGCUCAACUGUCGAUGUGCCAUUGAUACUGCAGAACUUGAGUACAGACGAGGUAGGCGGAAUUGACGGUGUAGCGGUGAAAUGCUUAGAUAUCGUCAAGAACACCGAUAGCGAAGGCAGCUUACUAGACUGUAACUGACGCUGAUGCACGAAAGUGUGGGGAUCAACAGG